rnacentral:tRNA from 1 species
GGGCCCGUAGCUCAGUGGUAGAGCACCUGCCUUUUAAGCAGGGUGUCGAAGGUUCGAUCCCUUCCGGGCUCA